rnacentral:tRNA from 1 species
GCAGAUACAGCUCAGUGGUAGAACACUUGCCUAACAUGCAUGAGGACCUGGGUUUUAUUCCUAGUACUGCA